rnacentral:rRNA from 1 species
UACGUAGGGUGCAAGCGUUGUCCGGAAUUAUUGGGCGUAAAGAGCUCGUAGGCGGUCUGUUGCGUCGGCUGUGAAAACCCGGGGCUCAACUCCGGGCCUGCAGCCGAUACGGGCAGACUAGAGUUCGGCAGGGGAGACUGGAAUUCCUGGUGUAGCGGUGAGAUGCGCAGAUAUCAGGAGGAACACCGGUGGCGAAGGCGGGUCUCUGGGCCGAUACUGACGCUGAGGAGCGAAAGCGUGGGGAGCGAACAGG